rnacentral:rRNA from 1 species
CGGGACGGGUGAGUAAUGUCUAGGGAAAUGCCGAUGGAGGGGGAUAACUACUGGAAACGGUAGCUAAUACCGCAUAACGUCGCAAGACCAAAGAGGGGGACCUUCGGGCCUCUUGCCAUCGGAUGUGCCCAGAUGGGAUUAGCUAGUAGGUGGGGUAACGGCUCACCUAGGCGACGAUCCCUAGCUGGUCUGAGAGGAUGACCAGCCACACUGGAACUGAGACACGGUCCAG